UACGGAGGGGGCGAGCGUUGUUCGGAUUCAUUGGGCGUAAAGGGUGCGUAGGCGGCGCGGUAAGUCGGGUGUGAAAUCUCGGAGCUUAACUCCGAAACUGCAUUCGAUACUGCCGUGCUUGAGGACUGGAGAGGAGACUGGAAUUUACGGUGCAGCGGUGAAAUGCGUAGAUAUCGUAAGGAAGACCAGUGGCGAAGGCGGGUCUCUGGACAGUUCCUGACGCUGAGGCACGAAGGUCAGGGGAGCAAACGGG
rnacentral:rRNA from 1 species